AAAACUGAUCCAGUAAGAUCCUGAAACCACGUUGGUAGAAUUCACAGCUGUAGCGUUGAAAUGCGUAGAGAUCUGGAGGAACACCUGGUGGCGAUGGCCGUCCCCCCGGCACAAAGACUGACCCUCAGCUGCGAUAGUUUGGGAGCAAACAGGAUUAGAUACCCUGGUAGUCACGCUGUAAACGAUGUCGAUUGGGAGGCUGUGUCCUUGACACGUGUCUUCAAGACUUAACGCGUAAAAUCUACAGCGUAAUGAGUACGGCCGCACGGUUAAAACUCAAUUGAAUUGAUGCGAGCCCGCACAAGCGGUGGAGCCUCUGGUAUAAUUCGAUGCAACGUGAAGAACCUUACCUGGCCGGGACAUGUCCGGAAUCCUGUACAGAUGUUGUAGUGCGUUCGGGAAUCAGAACACCGGUGCUGCAUGCCGUCGUCACCUCGUGUCCUGAGGUGUUGGGCUAAGUCACGGCACUAGCGCCACCCGCUCCUGUGUCCCCACGGGUCCCGGGAAAUCUAGGGUGAGGGCCGCUGAUAAACACGAGGAGGGUGGGGGGGACGUCAAGUCAUCAUGGCCCCCACGGCCAGGGCUACACACCUGCUACAAUGGCGCGUACAGAGGGCUGCAACCUAGCGAUAGUGAGCGAAUCCCAAAAAGCGCGUCGUAGUCCGGAUCGGAGUUUGCAACUCGACUCCGUGAAGUCGGAAUCGCUAGUAAUCGCAAAUCAGAAUGUUGCGGUGAAUACGUUCCCGGGCCUUGUACACACCGCCCGUCACACCAUGGG
rnacentral:rRNA from 1 species